UGCUAUACUGCAAGUCGAGCGGACAGAAGGGAGCUUGCUCCCGGAUGUUAGCGGCGGACGGGUGAGUAACACGUGGGUAACCUGCCUGUAAGACUGGGAUAACUCCGGGAAACCGGAGCUAAUACCGGAUAGUUCCUUGAACCGCAUGGUUCAAGGAUGAAAGACGGUUUCGGCUGUCACUUACAGAUGGACCCGCGGCGCAUUAGCUAGUUGGUGAGGUAACGGCUCACCAAGGCGACGAUGCGUAGCCGACCUGAGAGGGUGAUCGGCCACACUGGGACUGAGACACGGCCCAGACUCCUACGGGAGGCAGCAGUAGGGAAUCUUCCGCAAUGGACGAAAGUCUGACGGAGCAACGCCGCGUGAGUGAUGAAGGUUUUCGGAUCGUAAAGCUCUGUUGUUAGGGAAGAACAAGUGCAAGAGUAACUGCUUGCACCUUGACGGUACCUAACCAGAAAGCCACGGCUAACUACGUGCCAGCAGCCGCGGUAAUACGUAGGUGGCAAGCGUUGUCCGGAAUUAUUGGGCGUAAAGGGCUCGCAGGCGGUUUCUUAAGUCUGAUGUGAAAGCCCCCGGCUCAACCGGGGAGGGUCAUUGGAAACUGGGAAACUUGAGUGCAGAAGAGGAGAGUGGAAUUCCACGUGUAGCGGUGAAAUGCGUAGAGAUGUGGAGGAACACCAGUGGCGAAGGCGACUCUCUGGUCUGUAACUGACGCUGAGGAGCGAAAGCGUGGGGAGCGAACAGGAUUAGAUACCCUGGUAGUCCACGCCGUAAACGAUGAGUGCUAAGUGUUAGGGGGUUUCCGCCCCUUAGUGCUGCAGCUAACGCAUUAAGCACUCCGCCUGGGGGAGUACGGUCGCAAGACUGAAACUCAAAGGAAUUGACGGGGGGCCCGCACAANCGGUGGACCAUGUGGUUUAAUUCCAAAUCAACGCCAAAGAACCUUAACAGGGUCUUGACAUCCUCUUGACAAACCCUAGA
rnacentral:rRNA from 1 species